AUUGAACGCUGGCGGCAUGCCUUACACAUGCAAGUCGAACGGCAGCGGGGGAGAAGCUUGCUUUUCCUGCCGGCGAGUGGCGAACGGGUGAGUAAUACAUCGGAACGUGCCCUGUAGUGGGGGAUAACUAGUCGAAAGAUUAGCUAAUACCGCAUACGACCUGAGGGUGAAAGUGGGGGACCGCAAGGCCUCAUGCUAUAGGAGCGGCCGAUGUCUGAUUAGCUAGCGGGUGGGGUAAAGGCCUACCAAGGCGACGAUCAGUAGCUGGUCUGAGAGGACGGUCGGCCACACUGGGACUGAGACACGGCCCAGACUCCGACGGGAGGCAGCAGUGGGGAAUUUUGGACAAUGGGCGAGAGCCUGAUCCAGCAAUGCCGCGUGUGUGAAGAAGGCCUUCGGGUUGUAAAGCACUUUUGUCCGGAAAGAAAUGGCUCUGGUUAAUACCUGGGGUCGAUGACGGUACCGGAAGAAUAAGGACCGGCUAACUACGUGCCAGCAGCCGCGGUAA
rnacentral:rRNA from 1 species